rnacentral:misc_RNA from 1 species
UGGGGAGAUCUAUGGUCCCAAGGGA